rnacentral:rRNA from 1 species
UACGAGAGACAUAAGAGUGCACGGUGGAUGCCUUGGCCUAGGACGGCUAUGAAGGACGCGACUAACCUGCGAAAAGCUUCGGGGAGGCGGUUUGUAGCCUUUGAUCCGGAGAUAUCCGAAUGGGGAAACCCUACAGUUUUGAACUGUAAUCUGCGAGGUAACGCUUGCAUGAUGCGAACCCGGGGAAGUGAAACAUCUCAGUACCCGGAGGAAAAGAGAACAAUAGGAGUUGCGUUCAGUCGGCGCGUAUGUUCGUGCUGAUUGAACGCAACUCUCGUGAUACCCUAAGUAGCGGCGAGCGAAAAGGGAAAAGCCCAAACCGUGCGCAUCACACUGCGUGUGAUGCUGAUUUUUAAAUAUUUAAACAUUUAAAUUUCGCAUCGCGCAUAGCGCGAUGCGCAUGGGGUUGUAAGAUGCGAACAUCGUACUUGUACGUAAAGAGUUAUCAAUCGUCUAUAUAGCAGAAACUGCUGGGAAGCAGUGCCCCAGAGGGUAAUGGCCCCGUAUGCGAAAUGUAUGACGACUCUUGUUUGUAUUCUUGAGUAGCUCGAGACACGAAUAGCUCGAGUGAAUCUGCCGGAACUAACCGGUAAGGCUAAAUACGUCCUAUGACCGAUAGUGAACUAGUACCGUGAGGGAAAGGUGAAAAGAACCCCGAGAGGGGAGUGAAAUAG